rnacentral:lncRNA from 1 species
UAUGCAGUAUUUCAAUAUAUAAUAAAUUCAAAUUUCGUUUUUCUUUUUCUGUGUACUUUUCUCAGAUUGUUCCACUGAGAUCACAAACACUUCUGGGGCUAGGAUCACCUUCGAUGUUCCUACAGAGGCUCAAUAUCUGCAGUUCACUCCCCUUUACACGAAUCACACAAGGAUAGUGUGGCAUCAAGACGACCCUCUGCUUAGUGAGGGAGGCAGAGGACAGAUGACCUCUCUCGGCUGGGAGAUAAUCAACCUCACUCCAGAAGACAGCGGCUACUACGACAUGAGGCGAAAAGACUACUAUUUAGUGUCGAGGAUAAGGCUCACAGUAGAAGGUGAUCUUGGGAACUUAGGUGCCGCUUGUGAGCUUUCAGACUGCUGUGUAUCUGAUUAAAUGUUCUUCAAAAUAACGACAACCUUUCUUCUUCUUCUCCUUCUUCUUCAUUUCUGCUCUUACAGGACCUAUUCCCACAUAUGUUUAUGCUGCUAUCGCUGGUGGGAUUGUCUUAGCGGUGAUUGUCUGCUUUUGCUGUGUGAGGAAGUGCUGUUGUAAAAAGGACUCUUCCAAACGGGACGAGUCAGCGCCUGCUGCUGUGUAUUACCAUUCGCGGGAUCAGAACCAACCUGCUGGCCCAAACUCCUCUGCUGCACCUCCUCCAGAUUACUCUUAUCAUUCAGUGAAGCCCCCUGCUUAUGAAGAAGCUGCAGCUAACUCCGUUGGGCCAUCGGCGCACAACCCAGUGAAUAUCCACAUGAACCCCCUCCAGCCUGAGGUUUCUGCUCCGGCUCCUUCACUCGGCUCUGAUUUUCUCUCCUCGGCCCCUCCACCAGAGUUGGAACUGAAAAGACGGACCUUCCCUUCUGCUCCCCCUCUCGGACCAGAAUCAACUACCAGUGACGUUUAUACCUCUGAUAAACUCAACUUUCUGUGAUGGGCACACUGAAAAAGUCAAGUGAUGCUUUGUGACUAGCAGGAACACAGCCAUGAAUCUUCGAUUGGAUCAUUUAGAUUGUAAGAAACAAGAUGUCAAUCACACUAUGUUGAGACAUGACCAAACAUAUUACAAGUCAAUGUGUGAGAUUUCCUCUUUCACUGUAACAAACUUGAAGCCCGUGAAGUAUUACAGUUUUUAAUCCGUUAACUCUUAAUAACUCAAAAUUGGUCAAAUGCUUGUGGUUAAGAGCAAAGCAGUAGAGGGCAGGACGCAUAUCAAGAUAUAAAUCAUUUCAGGUGUAUGCCUGUAGAUAAUCGACUUAUUGUGUAGUUCAUUUUUGCUUUUUUUUCUCUUUUUGAAAAAAAAAAAAGAAGCUCACUCAGUGUAGCUCUAUACAAUUAUUCUUUAGUUUCAGGCGUGUUUCAAGAGCCAUCUGCCUUAAUCAGGAGGUCAGUAUAACAUGAGUUAACCUACGUUUACACAUUAUUAUGUGGAUGAUGUUACAAUGAUGGUCUGUGUAGCAGAGCCUUGAGAUGGGGACUCAAAAUGGAGUCAGGCUGAAUCUGACACUCAUGGAGAUUACAACACUACACCUCACUAUACAAUUAUGGCACUGAUGCCAGCAUUACUUAUAUGAUUGUUUCCAUAUCCCUGACGUUUCUUUUAUUAACAUGUCUUUGUUGCAUUUAUUGAAACGUUUUAAGAAAUUAUGUGGGAGCUACCUAAGCUUGGAAACAGUUGCAUUCUGCAUGUGUGUGUGUGUGUGUGGGUGUGUGUUGCGCACGUGUGUGUGUAAUGUUGUAAUAGUAAUACUUGAUAGAAAUAUUUGUCAGCAUAAUGUGUAAGGAGUGUUGUGGCUCCUUUCUAUCCACCUGUAAAAUUGAAAUAACUAAAAUCAAAAUAUGAAUAGCUGUCUUUCAUAGUGUUACAAUAUUGUUAGAUAAAUAAACUUAAGGUGCAAUUUCUUUAUGGUGUAAAAGUUCUUGUUCUGUGUAACUGUUUAACUUCAUGUUGGUGGUUAAAGGCCUUAAAAAAGUGUUUUCAUAAUCAGCUUCUUUCAC